ACACUUCCUCUCCUCAGCCCAGCUUCCUGGGCACGUCCUCCUUUUCUGUCCCCACGGGUAGUAGGCUGACUGUGUUCCCCAGAAGAGAUGUCCAAAUCCUGACCUUCUGUACCGUGACUUAUAAACGGCGGGAAGACGGCCCAUCACACGCUGGAAUGUACGGAGCGAGAAAAACCAGAGGCGCAGUCCACCCCCAGCCCGACUCUCACUUCGUCCUGCUGGGAGCCGAGCCAAGGCCUGAGUCACGGCCUGAGAUUCACACCUGUGCCCGCACCCCUCUGAGACAAUAUCGGCGACGCCCACGAUGAAGGCGAAACCUGCACGCAGCCGAGGGAGCACAUCUGAAGUGUAUGCUCAGAGGGUUUCGCGGAUGGGACCAUCACCCAGAUCAAAACGUGGGGACAUCCAGCACCCCAGAAGGCUCCCUCUGCUGGCGAGGGAAGCCACACCUCGGGCCUCUGUCACCGGAGGCGAGUUUUGCCUGCUGUUGGUCUCACUGAUGGGGAGUCACAGUUACGCCCCUUUCACCUCUGGCUCCUUUGCUCAGCUUGUGCCCCUGGGUUCCUCCUCAACAGGCGGACGCGUGCUCCUUUUCACUG